CAUUAUAUACUGGCCCGUGUUACAGAAAGUGAAAGUUGAAAGGAAGUGCGGCUGGAGGCCCAAAGUUUAAGGACCAGGAACCGUAGCUCCCUGCUUCCGACUAUUGGCAUCGCGAUCCAGAUAACUCCCGACACCGCUUCGGCUUCGCCUCCGCGAGAUCGGGAGAUGCGAGUCCGCAUCCGCGGCCGCGGCCGCCGGUCCGCUGGAUGCUCGCUGCGCUGCCUCGGUCGUCCGCACUCGGCACUCCACCGGCACCGAGGGGCGUCCGGACAGGCCCCACGCCCGCACGCCACCACUGAUCACUCGAUCAGACAGGAAGAGGACAUCGGGUACUUAUCAGUCAUCACUGAUUUACUAAUUCACUGCACUCAAUCAUGAAUUCGUGAUUCAGGUUUAUAAUUUCCCAAAUUUAUAACUCAAGGCAUUUAUUUGAACAUCUUAGAUGUUGCCUAAGAAGCAUUUGUCGGUGCUCGUAAAGGAAAAAAAAGAAAACAACAAGAUCUCAAAAAGAUUUUUUUUCUGUGGGCAUGUAUUUAGUUAAAAGGGAGUAGAGGAACGUUACAAGCUAUCUGUCAAUGAUAAGCACCAAGCUUACUAAAGAGGAGGAAGACCAAAAACACAAAAAGGAAAAAAAGAUAGAGCUACAAGAAGUUGAGGAUUACAGCAAACUUAGGCAAAAACAUGCCUUAUCUAGUCAACGGCUAUAUGGGCUACGAACUCCCUUACUACCUGACGCCAUGCUCAGCCGUAGUGGCCGCAUACAAUCCAACUUACGACAUGAAUCCUUAAUGCGGUUCGGCCAGAAGCAUGUCAACCUUUGUGGUGAAGUCGUCCAAAAGCGUUUUGUCAUGGAACAGGACCUUGAAGGCUUCAUGCUUGAACUCCGAAAGCGGUUUAGCAAAGAUUGUCUCAUACUUCUGCAUAGCUGCAGAGUUAAUGGGUUGUGCUAAUUGCGUGAGCCUGAAUUUGACCAUAAGAACCUGCUACGCCUGAAGAGUUAGGUUGGUUGCCCGAGGUUUAGCAGCUACACGAGUACUCCUACGCGCUUUGACUCUAGGUUGGGACUCUGAGGGUGGGUCUUCUCUGAAUCGCAGGAGUUUGGAGAGCGAAGCAAACUCUCUCUUGGAUUAUGCGUGAAAUGUCAGUGACUGAUGCAUCAAUGCCUGAGGAGGCAUUCCGCACCAACCAUGAUGGUGUGACUUGUCCCCUUGCUAAGGUGACACAAGGGGUGAGUCUGUCUACCCACUAAGUGGGGCACAGAGGUGGUGUCUGUAACUUUAGGUCACCAUGCUAUGGCAGUGUCUGCUACCCACAGGCGCAGACAUGGGUGACUACUGACGUUGCCCCAUCCUCUAGCUGGGUAGCCAUCAAAGUUGAAGCUAGGUCGUCAAGUGGAGGGCAUGUGACGAUCCAACUAGCGACGAGUGAGGUUACGAACUCCUCAAGCGUCUGGUCAUCCAAGGUGUUGCGACCACGGAGCAUGGGUCAAGCCUAAGAAGGCACGUCUGGUUGGCUGACUCACCACUAUUGGAUAUAGCAUCCCUAGAGGAGACGGUGGUGCCCACCCCGGCCGUCUUCAAUGCCUCGAUAAGCGCAAUAGUAGACGACACAGUCAGGGCUCCACAUGACCCUGCCGUGGCGUCCAAGCUCCCAAUAGCCAAUGUGUGUGGUCGCUUGCAUCACGCGCGAGGUGCCAGAAGUGCCGGCAACACAUGCAACACGGGGGUAGCUUACAAGUCGCCACCCAAUGUGAAGAAGAGAGAAAACACUUGCCGCGCAGUUCCUCCAGAAAGUGCCUAGGUGGUCCUCGUCGCUUCGAUGCAUUGGAGCAGUACUUUGAGUGGGACAAGCUUCCGAAGGCACAUGCGUUAGCACCUUCUACUAACCGUCAGCAUCGGGUGAAGAGAAGCUAUGCCACGAGUCGGUGGGGCACCCAAGGAAUGAGCCUCUCGUGGACCAAUAAGCGCCAAACACCAUCACCCACGAUGCGGUUACCAUGAUGGUUGUACUAUUGCGGAUGGGUAUCCCAUGAGUAAGCGGUGGGCGCCGCUGAUGGUGCUUGCUCCUGCUGGUCGGCUUGCCGCCUCUACCUUGGCCAUGCGUCCCGCGGCGGUGUCAACAGUGUUCUGGACCUCAACGGAGCACAUACAUGCCCAUACAAGCGGCGGUGAUGCCGAACGGUGCUGUCAGCGAAUGGCGUUGAGGUAGGAGGGAGCCCUUGGUGAACUCUCCUUGUCGGUGUAGUCUUUGUCGGAGCAAUUGAUGGAUUCUUUAGCCCACUGACGGAACUUGGAGCGGCCCUUCGAGCCACAACUUGGAAGGAACAGGGUCCAAAGGGGGCGAGGGUAGAGGAGGGGCCCCACUCUCCUGUGCCACUACAGCCACCAACUUGCUAGUGUGGCUAGUCACGUGCAUGCGGCGGGGGACGCUCUCCCCAAAAGAGGCGACCUCCAUCUCCAGAUCUAGGGGAGUGGGGCCACCCUAGGCGCUAGAGCAGCCAGAUCUGGCAGGCGCCAUUGAAUGGACAACAUCAAACACCGGCAGUGGCUGAGCACCAGGCCCCCUAGGUCUGCGUGCCCCCUAGGCCCAAGCUUGCUGUGGGGAAGGGCAGUCAUGAGGUGGAUGGAGGUGGGGAGGUCAACAUGAUGACCACUGUCGGUGGCGGCGCUAGAGGCUGUUGGAUGCUAUAGUUGCCUCCAGCAGACGCGGUGCUAUGGGAGGUAGUGGCGUCCGGGCCGCGAGGUGGUCAUCGAUGACCUGCCGAGUUCGUGAGGCGAGCGGGGAGAAAGAGAAGGGGGUGGGGAGUAGGUGGCGGACGUUGGCAAGGUGGCUGCCGCUGGUGCCGACUCUGAAGCGGAUGUGGCCACCAGGGAGGAGCCCUAGCGAGCGAGGCUGGGCGCUUGGACCGUCAUACUAGCCAUUUGCUUUGCACCCCUAGAUAAAAGAUUUGGCAAUCCUAGUUCAUAGAAUCACAAAAGGGUGCUAUACAUAAAUUUUUUCCAGCUCUAAAUAAUGCUGAAGACACUUAAGAUGGGGGGGGGGGGCACGAACAUGAUCAUACUUUAAUUGAACAUGUUGAUGUUGAUGCCAACGAAGGUGUUAUAGGAGAACAAAAUUUAGAUGCAGAAGCUGAUGGUAAUGACGGUGCUACAAGGGAGCAAAAUUUAGAUGCAGAAGCUGAUGCCAACGAGGACACUCCUUGAGGGAGAUCAAGGGGCAUAAAUCAAUAUUCUCUCCUACAAUUGGGAACCGGAGGCUGAAGGCUCAGGCUAUCCACGAUAGUAAAAAAUAUUUCCAUCGUUUGAUCCUGAUUUCACCGUCCUGAUUUACUUCAGUGAUUGGUAACUGUUGUUGAACACGUGCCAAUCUUCCUGUGGCCCGGACCAAAAUAGUUCAUUCGCGAACCGUCUCGGCAUCUCUCCAUCCAUCACAGCCAAAACAAAAAAAAAUUACCUCCCUCUAUCUCUCUCGAGGCAUUGGCACGCGAGAGGUGCCAGCGCUGAACACCAGCGCCCACGCUGCUCCCCUGCCCCUGCACUCGCCUUCACUCCCCCUGCUCUCUCUCUCUAUCUCUGUGGCGGUGCCACGGGAGCCCCUAGCACGGCGGCGGCAUGUACGAUGUCACUGCUGCUAUCUGCCCCUUCCUCUUCUUUGUCCUAGACCCUAGAUCCAGACGCGGCUCUUUCGCUCCCUCUUAACUGCCUGGAUGGAUCCCUAAAGAGCACAUGAUGUUGGGCUGUAUAUAUGUAAAAACAUAUGUCAUGUAUGUUAAAAUAUAUAUACGAGUCUCGAGAAGAAAUGAAGAUGUUCCUUCAAAAAAAAAGGAGAAACGAAGAUAAGGCUAUAUGGCAGUAAAUGCACACUAUAUUGAUGAGGAUUGAAAGCUAAAAGGCUUUCUUUUGAGGUUCUUGUAUGUACCACAACCCAAUACUUCUGAAAGUCAUAAGUGUUGUCCUUCAUGACAUACUCAAGGGAUUGCGGCAUUGCAUUAAGAAGAAGGUGUCGACCAUGACUCUCGACAACUGCAGCACAACAGUAUUGCAAAAAACUCGACCUGAGCACAACACUAUUCGUAACUCCAGCUUGCUUACCUUCCCUCAAUUUAAAUAUGCAAGAGGUGUUGAUAUGUGUGCUUUGCUGUGGCAGGGGCAUCACCCACGAAUCCUCGCCCUUCCUGAGGUAGUUAGUCAGACGGAGCUCGAAGCGGUGGCGGCGCAUGGAGGUGUGUUUCCUGUCCCCAUCCCCGCAUGACAUCCUUGGAGGUGCAAGUUUCGCGGAGGCAAACCACCCCAUCUCAUAGCGCUACUGCGACUCCUUGGCGGCCGACAUGAACGCUGCCAUAGCCAACAUUGAUGCGGCGGUGGGAGAAGUGGGAAAACGCAUUGCGAAACAGAGGAGAGGAGGCUUUGGCAAAAGCCGGAGCUUAUCUAUUGGUUUAUCCAUACCCAUUGACCGGUUUUGAUAAUUAGGAUAUUUGAGUUUCCAAACUAACCCUUAGGGGUCUAGCGUUCUAUCUCAUACAUUUUGUAUUAUGUUUGAUAUUUAUUGAUCUUAAAACAAGAUAAGGAUGACGUUGAAUAUUCAUUCUCAUAAACAUAUCAGAAAUCUGAUUUUGAGUAUUCGGAUUUGGAUAUA